rnacentral:rRNA from 1 species
GAUGAACGCUAGCUACAGGCUUAACACAUGCAAGUCGAGGGACCGGCGCACGGGUGAGUAACACGUAUCCAACCUGCCCUUUACUCGGGGAUAGCCUUUCGAAAGAAAGAUUAAUACCCGAUGUAAAGGAUGGGGAUGCGUUCCUUUAGGUUGUUGGUGAGGUAACGGCUCACCAAGCCUUCGAUGGAUAGGGGUGAGGAGAGGAAGGUCCCCCGAAUUGGAACUGAGACACGGUCCAAACUGCUACGGGAGGCAGCAGUGAGGAAUAUUGGUCAAGGGGGUUUAGCCUGAACCAGCCAAGUAGCGGGAAGGAUGAAGGCUUAUGGGUAGUAAACUUCUUUUAUAUAAGAAUAUGUAUUAUAUGAAUAAGGAUCGGCUAACUCCGUGCCAGCAGCCGCGGUAAUUC